rnacentral:rRNA from 1 species
AAGUCGUAACAAGGUUUCCGUAGGUGAACCUGCGGAAGGAUCAUUACCGAGUGCGGGCCCUCUGGGUCCAACCUCCCAUCCGUGUCUAUCUGUACCCUGUUGCUUCGGCGUGGCCACGGCCCGCCGGAGACUUAACAUUUGAACGCUGUCUGAAGUUUGCAGUCUGAGUUUUUAGUUAAACAAUCGUUAAAACUUUCAACAACGGAUCUCUUGGUUCCGGCAUCGAUGAAGAACGCAGCGAAAUGCGAUAAUUAAUGUGAAUUGCAGAAUUCAGUGAAUCAUCGAGUCUUUGAACGCACAUUGCGCCCCCUGGUAUUCCGGGGGGCAUGCCUGUCCGAGCGUCAUUGCUGCCCUCAAGCACGGCUUGUGUGUUGGGCUUCCGUCCCUGGCAACGGGGACGGGCCCAAAAGGCAGUGGCGGCACCAUGUCUGGUCCUCGAGCGUAUGGGGCUUUGUCACCCGCUCCCGUAGGUCCAGCUGGCAGCUAGCCUCGCAACCAAUCUUUUUAACCAGGUUGACCUCGGAUCAGGUAGGGAUACCCGCUGAACUUAA